rnacentral:rRNA from 1 species
CCUAUGGGAGACAGCAGUGAGGAAUAUUGGUCAAUGGGCGUAAGCCUGAACCAGCCAAGUAGCGUGAGGGAUGAAGGUUCUAUGGAUCGUAAACCUCUUUUAUAAGGGAAUAAAGUGUGGGACGCGUCCUGUUUUGUAUGUACCUUAUGAAUAAGGAUCGGCUAACUCCGUGCCAGCAGCCGCGGUAAUACGGAGGAUCCGAGCGUUAUCCGGAUUUAUUGGGUUUAAAGGGUGGGUAGGCGGGCUUUUAAGUCAGUGGUGAAAGUCUGUGGCUCAACCAUAGAAUUGCCGUUGAAACUGGGGGCUUGAGUAUGUUUGAGGCAGGCGGAAUUCGUGGUGUAGCGGUGAAAUGCUUAGAUAUCACGCAGAACCCCGAUUGCGAAGGCAGCCUGCCAAGCCAUGACUGACGCUGAUGCACGAAAGCGUGGGUAUCAAACAGGAUUAGAUACCCUUGUAGUC